rnacentral:rRNA from 1 species
AGAGUUUGAUCCUGGCUCAGGAUGAACGCUAGCGGCAGGCCUAAUACAUGCAAGUCGAGGGGUAAGAGUCAGCUUGCUGACUACACGACCGGCGCACGGGUGCGUAACGCGUAUGCAACCUACCUUUAACAGAGGAAUAGCCCCGAGAAAUCGGGAUUAAUACCACAUAACAUUAUGAUAUGGCAUCAUAUUAUAAUUAAAACUCCGGUGGUUAAAGAUGGGCAUGCGUGACAUUAGCUAGUUGGUGAGGUAACUGCUCACCAAGGCUACGAUGUCUAGGGGUUCUGAGAGGAUGAUCCCCCACACUGGUACUGAGACACGGACCAGACUCCUACGGGAGGCAGCAGUAAGGAAUAUUGCGCAAUGGAGGCAACUCUGACGCAGCCAUGCCGCGUGCAGGAUUGAAGGCCUUAUGGGUCGUAAACUGCUUUUAUUUAGGAAUAAACUUUCGUACGUGUACGAAACUGAAGGU